GACGAACGCUGGCGGCGUGCUUAACACAUGCAAGUCGAGCGGAAAGGCCACUUCGGUGUACUCGAGCGGCGAACGGGUGAGUAACACGUGAGUAAUCUGCCCCUGGCUUUGGGAUAGCCACCGGAAACGGUGAUUAAUACCGGAUACGACCACUUCUCGCAUGGGAUGGUGGUGGAAAGUUUUUUCGGCCAGGGAUGUGCUCGCGGCCUAUCAGCUUGAUGGUGAGGUAAUGGCUCACCAUGGCUUCGACGGGUAGCCGGCCUGAGAGGGUGACCGGUCACACUGGGACUGAGACACGGCCCAGACUCCUACGGGAGGCAGCAGUGGGGAAUAUUGGACAAUGGGCGGAAGCCUGAUCCAGCAACGCCGCGUGAGGGAUGACGGCCUUCGGGUUGUAAACCUCUUUCAGCAGGGACGAAGCGCAAGUGACGGUACCUGCAGAAGAAGCACCGGCCAACUACGUGCCAGCCGCCGCCGUAA
rnacentral:rRNA from 1 species